rnacentral:ncRNA from 1 species
GGUCAUGAGCGCCAGCGUCAAGCCCCGGCUUGCUGGCCGGCAACCCUCCAACCGCGGUGGGGUGCCCCGGGUGAUGACCAGGUUGAGUAGCCAAAGCCGGCUACGCGGCAAGCGCGGGUC